rnacentral:rRNA from 1 species
UGGGGAAUUUUGCACAAUGGGGGAAACCCUGAUGCAGCGACGCCGCGUGAUUUAGAAGGCCUUCGGGUUGUAAAAAUCUUUUCUAUGGGAAGAAAAUGACAGUACCAUAGGAAUAAGGACCGGCUAAUUACGUGCCAGCAGCCGCGGUAAUACGUAAGGUCCGAGCGUUGUCCGGAAUCAUUGGGCGUAAAGGGUACGUAGGCGGGUAAGCAAGUUAGAAGUGAAAUCCUAUAGCUCAACUAUAGUAAGCUUUUAAAACUGCUCAUCUUGAGGUAUGGAAGGGAAAGUGGAAUUCCUAGUGUAGCGGUGAAAUGCGCAGAUAUUAGGCGGAAUACCGGUGGCGAAGGCGACUUUCUGGCCAUAACCUGACGCUGAGGUACGAAAGCGUGGGUAGCAAACAGG